CUUCCUUGUAUUUUUGUUGCUAGAGUUGGCAUUCUGUUCUUGUUGCUAUCUUCCUUUAGGUUUGUUGAAGGAUUACUUUCUUGCUUUUUAUUGGGCAUAAUUUCCCUCUUGUGUUUGGGUUUUCCCUUUAUUAUCCUUUGAAGGGCUGGAUUCGUGGAAAGAUAAUGUGUGACUUUGGUUUUGUAAUGGAAUACUUUGGUUUCUUCUUCUAUGGUGUGAUGGUUCGUAUAUUCUUGGACCAGGGAGUGGCACCAUUUGGAGGUGUGGCCUUGUUGGAAUAGGUGUGACCUGGUUGGAGUAGGUGUAUCACUGUGGGUGUGGGCUUAAAACUCUCACCCCAGUUGCCUGGAAGUCAUGCUUCCACUAGCAGCUUUUGGAUGAAGACAUAGAACUCUCAGCUCUGCCUGCGCCAUGACAGCAUGGAUGCUGCCAUGCUCCCACCUUAAUGAUAAUGGACUGACCUCUGAACCUGUAAGCUAGCCCCAAUUAAAUGUUGUUUUUUAUAAGACUUGCCUUGGUCAUGGUGUCUGUUCAGAGCAGUAAAACCCUAACUAAGACAUAUGGUAAUUGAGAGUUUGGCUGGGUAUAGUACCCUGGGGUGUCAUUUGUGUUCUCUUAGUGUUUGUAUAACAUCUGUCCAGGAUCUUCUGGUUUUCAUAGUCUCUGGUGAGAAGUCUGGUGUAAUUCUACUAGGUCUGCCUUUAUAGGUUACUUGACCUUUCCCCUUACUGCUUUUAAAAGUCUAUCUUCAUUUAGUGCAUUUGCUGUUCUGAUUAUUAUGUAUCGGGAGGAAUUUCUUUUCUGCUUCAGUCUAUUUGGAGUUCUAUAGACUUCUUGUAUGUUCAUGGGCAUCUCUUUCUUUUGGUUAGAGACAUUUUCUUCUAUAAUUUUGUUGAAGAUAUUUACUGACCUUUUAAAUUGAAAAUCUUCAUUCUCAUCUACUCCUAUUAUCCGUAGGUUUGGUCUUCUCACUGUGUCCUGAAUUUCCUGGAUGUUUUGAGUUAGGAUCUUUUUGCAUUUUGCAUUUUCUUUGAUUGUUGUGCCCAUGUUCUCUAUGGAAUCUUCUGUCCCUGAAAUUCUAUCUUCCAUCUCUUGUAUUCUCUUGCUGAUACUCCCAUCUAUGGUUCUAGAUUUCUUUCCUAGGGUUUCUAUUUCCAGCGUUGUCUCACUUUAUGUUUUCCUUAUUGUGUCUACUUCCCUUUUUAGGUCUAGUAUGGUUUUGUUCAUUUCCAUCAUCUGUUUGGAUGUGCUUUCCUGUUUUUCUUUAAGGACUACUACCUGUUUGGUUGUGUUUUCCUGUUUUUCUUUAAGGACUUGUAACUCUUUAGCAGUGUUCUCCUGUAUUUCUUUAAGUGAGUUAUUAAAGUCCUUCUUGAUGUCCUCUACCAUCAUUAUGAGAUAUGCUUUUUAAUCUGGGUCUAGCUUUUUGGGUGUGCUGGGGUGCCCAGGACUGGCUGAGGUGGGAGUGCUGGGUUCUGAUGAUGGUGAGUGGUCUUGGUUUCUGUUAGUAAGAUUCCUACGUUUGCCUUUCGACACCUGGUAAUCUCUGGAGUUAGUUGUU
rnacentral:lncRNA from 1 species